rfam:Erinaceus europaeus unplaced genomic scaffold scaffold00425, whole genome shotgun sequence
GUGGGCUAUGGGGACAUGUGCCCCAUCACCCCAGGAGGGAAGAUCGUGGGCACACUGUGUGCCAUCGCGGGGGUCCUCACCAUCGCCCUCCCUGUGCCCGUCAUUGUUUCCAAU